CCUACGGGCGGCAGCAGUGGGGAAUAUUGGACAAUGGGGGGAACCCUGAUCCUGCGACACCGCGUGAGUGAAGAAGUAUUUCGGUAUGUAAAGCUCUAUCAGCAGGGAAGAAAAUGACGGUACCUGACUAAGAAGCCCCGGCUAACUACGGGCCAGCAGCCGCGGUAAUACGUAGGGGGCAAGCGUUAUCCGGAUUUACUGGGUGUAAAGGGAGCGUAGACGGCGGUGCAAGCCAGAUGUGAAAGCCCGGGGCUCAACCCCGGGACUGCAUUUGGAACUGUGCUGCUAGAGUGUCGGAGAGGCAGGCGGAAUUCCUAGUGUAGCGGUGAAAUGCGUAGAUAUUAGGAGGAACACCAGUGGCGAAGGCGGCCUGCUGGACGAUGACUGACGUUGAGGCUCGAAAGCGUGGGGAGCAAACAGGAUUAGAUACCCCGGUAGUC
rnacentral:rRNA from 1 species